UCUGAUGGAUGAACAAAAAAAGUGCUUUCUUGAGAUGCAAUCUACUCCUGGUGAAGAUGCUGUGAA
rnacentral:pre_miRNA from 1 species